AUAUAUAUUCUGUAGUCAUCUAAGUCAAUCAAACAGUAAAUCAAACAGUGUAGCAGUUGACAAUAUAACUGUGUCAUUAUGUUUGUCUGUGUUUCUUAGCUGCCGAGCCAUCGGAUCAGGAGGUGCUGUCUAUCUGCGUGGGUUUUGACCAAGCAUUAACAGGAUACACUUUAAAGUGGUAAGCAGUUCCUACUGCUCCCACCCCCACCGCACCCCCUGCUGUGCUAGCUCCUACUGCUCCCACUCCCACCGCGCCCCC